GAAAGUAAGUAAGGGCGUAUGGGGGAUGCCUAGGCUCUUGGAGGCUAAGAAGGACGUGGUAAGCUGCGAAAAGCUGCGGGGAUUUGCAAACGAGACUCGAUCCGCAGAUAUCCGAAUGGGACAACCCGGCAGGUAGAAGACCUGUCACACCGCGAGGUGAGCUAACCCUCUGAACUGAAACAUCUAAGUAGGAGGAGGAAAAGAAAGAAACAUCGAUUUCCAAAGUAGCGGCGAGCGAAAUGGAAGAAGCCCAAACCGAUAUUGUUACGGCAAUAUCGGGGUUGUAGGACUGCAAUAUUCAAUUAACAAUGAACUGGAAUGGUCUGGAAAGUCCAUCCAUAGAGAGUGAAAGGCUCGUACAGGUAAGUUUGUUAUGCGAAAGCAGUAUCCUGAGUAUGGCGGGACACGAGGAAUCCUGUCAGAAUCAGCCGGGACCACCCGGUAAGGCUAAAUACUCCCAAGAGACCGAUAGUGGACCAGUACUGUGAAGGAAAGGUGAAAAGAACCCCGAACAGGGGAGUGAAAUAGAACCUGAAACCAUACGCUUACAACCGGUCGGAGCAGCUUCGUGCUGUGACGGCGUGCCUAUUGAAUAAUGAGCCUACGAGUUACUAAUCACUAGCGAGGUUAAGUGCAAGGAUGCACGGAGCCGAAGCGAAAGCGAGUCUGAACAGGGCGUUUAGUUAGUGGUUGUAGACGCGAAACCUUGCGAUCUACCCUUGAGCAGGUUGAAGGUUGGGUAAAACCAACUGGAGGACCGAACGAAUAAGCGUUGAAAAGCUUCUCGAUGACUUGAGGGUAGGGGUGAAAGGCUAAUCAAGCUGGGAAAUAGCUCGUACUCCCCGAAAUGCCUUUUGGGGCAGCGUUGUAAUAAAGAGUCUACUGGAGGUAGAGCUACUGAUUGGAUGCGGGGGCUUCACCGCCUACCAAAUCCUGACAAACUCCGAAUGCCAGUAGUAUGAUUUACAGCAGUGAGUGACUGGGUGCUAAUGUCCAGUCGCAAAAGAGGAACAACUCAGACCAGCAACUAAGGUCCCGAAGAAUAUGCUAAGUUGAUCUAACGAUGUUUUGUUGCAGAGACAGCUAGGAUGUUAGCUUGGAAGCAGCUAUUCAUUCAAAGAGUGCGUAACAGCUCACUAGUCGAGCGACAGAGCGUGGAUAAUAAACGGGCAUCAAGCAUAUCACCGAAGUUCUGGGCGCGAGAGCGCGGUAGGGGAGCAUUCCAUUCAGCGUCGAAGCAGUUUCGUGAGGAAUUGUGGAGCGUAUGGAAAAGCAAAUGUAGGCAUGAGUAACGAUAAUGCGGGAGAGUAACCCGCACACCGCAAGACCAAGGUUUCCUGAUCAACGCUAAUCGGAUCAGGGUUAGUCGGGUCCUAAGGGUAAGCCGAACGGCGAUCUCGAUGGAUAAUCGGUUAAUAUUCCGAUACUAACAUAUACCUCGAUGGAGAGACGAAGGAACGUAAGUGCCGCCACCUGACGGAAUAGGUGGUUAAAGGGCGUAGGUAUAGGGGCAGAUUAAGAGUUAGUCCUUGCUGAAACCUGACAGUACAGAGAGCCUACGGGCAAUUUGAUAGUGCACCCAAGUCGACUUCCGAGAAAAUCUUCUAAGUUAUAGUAUAUGUUACCCGUACCGUAAACCGACACAGGUGGUCGAGGAGAGUAUCCUAAGGUGCUCGAGUGAAUCACGGUUAAGGAACUAGGCAAAUUAACCCCGUAACUUCGGGAAAAGGGGUCCCUAUGAAAGUAGGGCGCAGCGAAGAGGUCCAGGCGACUGUUUAUCAAAAACACAGGGCUCUGCAAAUUCGAAAGAAGACGUAUAGGGCCUGACACCUGCCCGGUGCUGGAAGGUUAAGAGGGGAUGUCAUCGCAAGAGAAGCAUUGAAUCGAAGCCCCAGUAAACGGCGGCCGUAACUAUAACGGUCCUAAGGUAGCGAAAUUCCUUGUCGGGUAAGUUCCGACCUGCACGA
rnacentral:rRNA from 1 species